rnacentral:SRP_RNA from 1 species
GCCAGGCGUGGUGGCGGAUGCCUGUAAUCCCAGCUACUCGGGAGGCUGAGGCAGGAGAAUCCCUUGAGCUCAGGAGGUGGAGGUUGCAGUGAGCCAAGAUGGCACCACUGCACUCCAGCCUGGGCGACAGAGUGAGAUGCUGUCUCAA